GGCGAGAUGGCCGAGCGGUCUAAGGCGCCAGACUAAGGAGACCAGGACAUUUGAUGUCCAAGUAUAUCUGGUCCGAAAGGGCGUGGGUUCGAAUCCCACUCUCGUCA